rnacentral:rRNA from 1 species
AUUGAACGCUGGCGGCAGGCUUAACACAUGCAAGUCGAGCGGGGGAAGGUAGCUUGCUACCGGACCUAGCGGCGGACGGGUGAGUAAUGCUUAGGAAUCUGCCUAUUAGUGGGGGACAACAUCUCGAAAGGGAUGCUAAUACCGCAUACGUCCUACGGGAGAAAGCAGGGGAUCACUUGUGACCUUGCGCUAAUAGAUGAGCCUAAGUCGGAUUAGCUAGUUGGUGGGGUAAAGGCCUACCAAGGCGACGAUCUGUAGCGGGUCUGAGAGGAUGAACCGCCACACUGGGACUGAGACACGGCCCAGACUCCUACGGGGGGCAGCAGUGGGGAAUAUUGGACAAUGGGGGGAACCCUGAUCCAGCCAGGCCGCGUGUGUGAAGAAGGCCUUAUGGUUGUAAAGCACUUUAAGCGAGGAGGAGGCUCUUUUGGUUAAUACCCAAGAUGAGUGGACGUUACUCGCAGAAUAAGCACCGGCUAACUUUGUGCCAGCCGCCGCCGUAA